rnacentral:rRNA from 1 species
UUCCGGUUGAUCCUGCCGGAGGUUACUGCUAUCGAGGUUCGACUAAGCCAUGCGAGUCGAAUGCCGCAAGGCAUGGCGUACUGCUCAGUAACACGUGGACAACCUACCCUUAGGACUGGGAUAACCCCGGGAAACUGGGAAUAAUCCCCGAUAGUCCUCGAAGGCUGGAAUGCAUCGAGGGCGAAAACUCCGGCGCCUAAGGAUGGGUCUGCGGCCUAUCAGGUAGUAGUGGGUGUAGCGUACCUACUAGCCUACGACGGGUACGGGUUGUGAGAGCAAGAGCCCGGAGAUGGAUUCUGAGACACGAAUCCAGGCCCUACGGGGUGCAGCAGGCGCGAAAACUUUACAAUGCUGGCAACAGCGAUAAGGGAACCUCGAGUGCCAGGUUACAAAUCUGGCUGUCGAGAUGCCUAAAAAGCAUUUCAUAGCAAGGGCCGGGCAAGACCGGUGCCAGCCGCCGCGGUAGCACCGGCGGCUCGAGUGGUAACCGUUAUUAUUGGGUCUAAAGGGUCUGUAGCCGGCCGGAUAAGUCUCUUGGGAAAUCUGGCAGCUCAACUGUCAGGCUAUCAGGAGAUACUGUCUGGCUCGAGGCCGGGAGAGGUGAGAGGUACUUCAGGGGUAGGGGUGAAAUCUUG